GUCGGUAGCCUCCCGGGACCACGGGGACGGCUCCACCCCAGGGCAGCCGCGUCCAGCUGGCCCUGGGCCUUGACGGGUGCUGCGGGGAAAAGGUUCUUGAGAGAUGCUGCGGCCCGGUAGAGAGAUUUAGCUCCACUUUUCACAGCUGGAGGCUUUUGUUAUUAGAGAUGCGGCUCCAUUUUUAAAACUAAUUGUUGCCACAGAUAGGCGACUACAUCUCUGGAAGCAGCAGCUCCAUGCUGGAUGUGGUGGAAGAAUCGAGAGGGAAUGGACUGGAAGUUUGGAAUCACCGGAAAAUAACAAGGCAUAGCUAAGCUGUGACUAGCAAGAUAAACGAUUUGUUCGAGGUU
rnacentral:lncRNA from 1 species